UGUAGCUACUGUAGGUCUACCCAUCAAUUCAAGAUGCAACUUUGAUCAUUCACUGAAUAUACUGCAAAAUUCACCUGAGCUCCGUAGACUUGUCUUCCCUGGCUGUCUGACCCUGCGCUGUCACCAUCUGAUCCUGCUAAGACAUGAGUACUAUUUAUUUUGAAACGGUCCUCUUUCUGCUUUCUAUGCUUUAGCCUACCUAUUGUAUUAAAAUCACAUCUUUUUCGCAUUAUUCAUACACACAGAAUUCGCUGCUUCAACUUCAGUAGCCCACCUGUCUUUUUGGGCGUGAGAGUUCAAGUGCGGAUAGUAUGUGUGGUCUCAUUGAAAUAUAGUAGGUUGCCAACAUGGGCGAAGAAUCACGUGGCAGUUCAUUUGAAUAUGAAAUGAAUUUAAAUAUGAUUAGACUGUAGUUCACUACAGUGUCUGUAAAUAAAUAUUGAUCAUGAAAAGAAGUGUAGGGCGCUCAACUAAUGUGAAUCGAAGUGCAAUCAAAACAUGUAAUCAUAAUUUAAAAGGAAAGGGCACAACGCCCACAUUGGUGUUAUGGGUGUAAGAUGUCACAGUGAUGCCAUCUGUUGGUAAAUGUUAAUUACUGCAACUCCAGUGUUUUUACCGGUGUGCUUGAAAUACCCGGAUGAACAAGACUGGUUACUCUCAUCAAUGCCUCUGUCUCGUCAUUUAACAUUCAAAUAAUAGGUUACUAUGGUGAGCGAGCGUUGCGCCUUUUCAUUUUCUAAGAGUAUAGAUUACCCAUUAAUUUGUCUCUGCCUGCAAAUCGUCCUCCUGAAAGUGGGCAGAUUAUUGGGCAAUCAGACUUCACUAGAUGCAGAACUUCAUCUGGAGGGAGAGGAGAGAAAGAGUUAAAGGAUGAGGAGAGGAAAGCGGCAGAAUGAAGAGAUGCUUGAUCAGGUGCUGUGGCUAGUUCUUCCUGUCACUUGUCCUCGACAGGCAGCCAGUCUCAGUCAGGGGUUCAAUAACAUGGGACUGGUUAAGUUGGAAGCCCUCUCACCACGUCAAGGUACAGGCCGAGAGAAGGAUUUUGUUUUUAAUUAAGGCCUUUAACCACCUACUCUAUAUUUGUAGUGCUUGACCUGAUGGGGCUUGGAUAGGUGUAGCAAUAUGGUGCUGACUCAAACCGGCUGUGUAAUGGACUCCGGGACACUUCUGCUAUAUUACAUACACAAAUCUAGAACCUCCAGAUAUGCAAACACUAACUAGAAACCAAUGUCAAAUUCCAUACCAACCCUUGCCUAAAAUUUGAUUUGGAAUUGGACACAAAAGAUUAAUGGCUAGGGAGAAGGGGUUAAGGACCAGUAAGUCUGUAACUGGGCAACUGAACAGUCAAUUGAAAAUGUUACUUGCAAUGAAUACAUUUAAUAUGCAAAUGUAUUAAUUUACAGCCAAUUCAAGCAAGUUUCAAAUAUUUGCCAGCAAACAAAUGGAAAAAUAUACAAAUGUUUACAUGCUUGUAAACAUGACUUGGAAUACAAGACAAAUACAUAUGGUAUAUACUUACCAACUUCACAGCCAAUGUCUGCAAAAAAACAUCUUUGUAAUAUUGUUUUAAAUUUGUAUAACAGGUUAUUAAGGUUAUUUACAAUAACAUAUAAUAUACAACAAGAUGCAAUGUAGUAAAAUAGCUACCGUCUUGAGGUGGGGAGCCGGCCAAGCAGUGAAAACAAGGGUGGGGAAAACAUCGGACGAAACAGAUGACGGACGAUAGACACGAUGAACAGACAAAUUCAUGCACAUUGACAACAUGAGACAAACAAGACACAUGAAAAUGCUUGCCGCAUCUCCUGCACCGGGCCACCUUCUUACCUUUUCUCACGUAUUUCCGCCAGAAGCAGUGGACGCUGAACUCUGGGUAGAGUGUGGACACCUUCGAAGGCCUGGACCCAGGAUGAGGACUGGAAUCGGGACUGAGAAAUGGUGCCAGGUGCCCAGCAUGAAAACAAGUAAAAAUAUGUUUUCUCAUGGAUUUCUGAUGGUAUCGUGUCAUGGAGGGUUCCUCAUCUCUGCAGAGAAGUUCACGACCUAGGUCACUCAAGAUGACCUCAGGUAACAACACCCUCUUUGAAGAAGUAGGUGAAGAUCUCCCACACACGGAUUGCCUCUCUUGCUGCGUUGUUGGACCCCAUCCUUUUAACAUCCUGCAAAGCAGCAGACUUCUCCUCUGACACACAGUGGCAAGCUACAGAUCCCCUCCUGGUCCUCGUGUCCAUCCUCAUGAAGUUAUGCAGGACACAGGUAGCCUUCACACGCCUGAAUUCCUCCAGGAGGCAGUCCCAGAUGGCCUUGGUCACCCAACCUUGCAGUGCCAUACACGGUAACUGUAAGCAGGAAUCUCCAGUUACAAGGUAUCUGUAGGAAGAUGGAAUAUAAUUUAACUAUUAAACUUUUACAUCCCCAGGUCAUUGUGGACUACUAAAGUAUAAUAUCCCUUAUACCAAAUCAUGAUAACAUUGGAUUGAUAGAUGCAUGUGCACACAUAGGAUCAU